rnacentral:rRNA from 1 species
CAGCAGCCACGGUAAAACGAAGGGUGCAAGCGUUACUCGGAAUUACUGGGCGUAAAGCGCGCGUAGGUGGUUUGUUAAGUUGGAUGUGAAAUCCCCGGGCUCAACCUGGGAACUGCAUCCAAAACUGGCGAGCUAGAGUAUGGUAGAGGGUGGUGGAAUUUCCUGUGUAGCGGUGAAAUGCGUAGAUAUAGGAAGGAACAUCAGUGGCGAAGGCGACCACCUGGACUGAUACUGACACUGAGGUGCGAAAGCGUGGGGAGCAAACAGGAUUAGAUACCCCAGUAGUCCCUGUCUCUUAUAC